rnacentral:rRNA from 1 species
CCUACGGGUGGCAGCAGUGGGGAAUAUUGCACAAUGGGCGCAAGCCUGAUGCAGCCAUGCCGCGUGUGUGAAGAAGGCCUUCGGGUUGUAAAGCACUUUCAGCGGGGAGGAAGGCGUUAAGGUUAAUAACCUUGGCGAUUGACGUUACCCGCAGAAGAAGCACCGGCUAACUCCGUGCCAGCAGCCGCGGUAAUACGGAGGGUGCAAGCGUUAAUCGGAAUUACUGGGCGUAAAGCGCACGCAGGCGGUCUGUCAAGUCGGAUGUGAAAUCCCCGGGCUCAACCUGGGAACUGCAUUCGAAACUGGCAGGCUAGAGUGUAGUAGAGGGGGGUAGAAUUCCAGGUGUAGCGGUGAAAUGCGUAGAGAUCUGGAGGAAUACCGGUGGCGAAGGCGGCCCCCUGGACAAAGACUGACGCUCAGGUGCGAAAGCGUGGGGAGCAAACAGGAUUAGAUACCCCAGUAGUC